UAAGGAAUCUUCCACAAUGGACGAAAGUCUGAUGGAGCAACACCGCGUGCAGGAUGACGGCCUUCGGGUUGUAAACUGCUUUUAUAUGGGAAGAUUAUGACGGUACCAUAUGAAUAAGGACCGGCUAACUACGUGCCAGCAGCCGCGGUAAUACGUAGGGUCCAAGCGUUAUCCGGAAUUACUGGGCGUAAAGCGUGUGUAGGCGGGAGUUUAAGUGCAAUGCGAAAUCUUGUGGCUCAACCAUAUAGACUGUAUUGCAUACUGGACACCUUGAGGAUGGCAGAGGCAAGUGGAAUUUGUAGUGUAGCAGUAAAAUGCGUAGAUAUUACAAGGAACACCAAUGGCGAAGGCAGCUUGCUGGGCCAUAUCUGACGCUGAGACACGAAAGCGUGGGGAGCGAAC
rnacentral:rRNA from 1 species